AAUGAACGCUGGCGGCAGGCCUAACACAUGCAAGUCGAACGGAUCCUUCGGGAUUAGUGGCGGACGGGUGAGUAACGCGUGGGAACAUACCCUUUGGUACGGAAUAGCCUCGGGAAACUGGGAGUAAUACCGUAUGUGGCCGAGAGACGAAAGAUUUAUCGCCAAAGGAUUGGCCCGCGUUGGAUUAGGUAGCUGGUGGGGUUAUGGCCUACCAAGCCGACGAUCCAUAGCUGGUUUGAGAGGAUGAUCAGCCACACUGGGACUGAGACACGGCCCAGACUCCUACGGGAGGCAGCAGUGGGGAAUCUUAGACAAUGGGGGAAACCCUGAUCUAGCCAUGCCGCGUGAUCGAUGAAGGCCUUAGGGUUGUAAAGAUCUUUCAGGUGGGAAGAUAAUGACUGUACCACCAGAAGAAGCCCCGGCUAACUCCGUGCCAGCCGCCGCAGUAA
rnacentral:rRNA from 1 species